rnacentral:rRNA from 1 species
AUUGAACGCUGGCGGCAGGCCUAACGCAUGCAAGUCGAGCGGAUGAAGAGAGCUUGCUCUCUGAUUUAGCGGCGGACGGGUGAGUAAUGCCUAGGAAUCUGCCUGGUAGUGGGGGAUAACGUCCGGAAACGGGCGCUAAUACCGCAUACGUCCUACGGGAGAAAGCAGGGGACCUUCGGGCCUUGCGCUAUCAGAUGAGCCUAGGUCGGAUUAGCUAGUUGGUGAGGUAAUGGCUCACCAAGGCUACGAUCCGUAACUGGUCUGAGAGGAUGAUCAGUCACACUGGAACUGAGAAACGGUCCAGACUCCUACGGGAGGCAGCAGUGGGGAAUAUUGGACAAUGGGCGAAAGCCUGAUCCAGCCAUGCCGCGUGUGUGAAGAAGGUCUUCGGAUUGUAAAGCACUUUAAGUUGGGAGGAAGGGCAGUAAGUUAAUACCUUGCUGUUUUGACGUUACCGACAGAAUAAGCACCGGCUAACUUCGUGCCAGCCGCCGCGGUAAAAC